GAUUAGCUCAGUGGUUAGAGCAGGGGACUCAUAAUCCCUUGGUCACCGGUUCAAAUCCAGUAU
rnacentral:tRNA from 1 species